ensembl:ncRNA Y69H2.22 ncRNA
AAUUUUUGAAUUCAGCAGAGCGAGAGCUUUCGAAUAAGUAUAAUCAUGACUAGGUUCUAGAAAUUUU